rnacentral:ribozyme from 1 species
AAAAGGCUAAGAGGAAGCCCCUAAAAAAAGGCAAAAAAAAAUUUUUUUUUUUUUUUUUUUUUUU